rnacentral:tRNA from 2 species
CGGGGUGUAGCGCAGCCUGGUAGCGCACCUGAAUGGGGUUCAGGUGGUCGGAGGUUCAAAUCCUCCCACCCCGA